rnacentral:rRNA from 1 species
UACAGAGGUCCCAAGCGUUGUUCGGAUUCACUGGGCGUAAAGGGUGCGUAGGUGGCCAGGUAAGUCUGAUGUGAAAUCUCGGAGCUCAACUCCGAAACUGCAUUGGAUACUAUCUGGCUGGAGGGUCGGAGGGGGGACUGGAAUUCUCGGUGUAGCAGUGAAAUGCGUAGAGAUCCGGAGGAACACCAGUGGCGAAGGCGACACGCUGGGCCGUACCUGACACUGAUGCGCGACAGCAUGGGGAGCAAACAGG